GACGUAGGGCGCGAGCGUUGUCCGGAUUUAUUGGGCGUAAAGAGCUCGUAGGCGGCUUGUUGCGUCGACUGUGAAAACCCGCGGCUCAACCGCGUGGCUUGCAGUCGAUACGGGCAGGCUAGAGCGUGGUAGGGGAGAUCGGAAUUCCUGGUGUAGCGGUGAAAUGCGCAGAUAUCAGGAGGAACGCCGGUGGCGAAGGCGGAUCUCUGGGCCAGUACUGACGCUGAGGAGCGAAAGCGUGGGGAGCGAACAGG
rnacentral:rRNA from 1 species